rnacentral:sRNA from 1 species
AGCUGAGCAAAGCAGCCACCUCUGGGUGGCCUCCCUUUUCAGCUGUUCCCCUCUGGAGGAUGAACAUCUCCACACCUAUAGCACCCGGCGACGGGUGCUUUUUU